UAGUGUCAGAACUGAGUUGAAUUGUAGGACACCCAGCUGGUAUUGGAGAAUUGCUUAGUGUGGGGGAAAAAACCCUACACAUUGGAAGUGGUGUCAGGAUUAGAAUAUUAGGAGAUUACUCAGCUAGCUCCCACUGUGGGCGGCUGGAGCCAAACCACGCUGCAGAACUCAGCAAAUGGCAGCAUAGCACACACCUGCCUGCAGGUGGUCCCACUGGAGACGGAAGAGGGAGCUGGGGGAUGUGCACACUGACUCCUGAGAGUGGAGAGCUGCAGGGAGGAUGUCAUUUCCUGGUAUUUCUGGCCUGCUGGCAAGAGAGGCCGAGAGGUUUUUCUUCCACAAGUCUGGAAAAAAGCCCUCAGGUAUUUGGAAAUCAGCUGCAGCCCACUGAAGUGGCAGGGCCUAGGCCGGUGGGUGGGCACAAUGGUGCUGCCUGGGGCAGGCAUUGUAAGUGGUCGUGCAUGCACAUGAGCCCUGGGUGACCCUGCACACUCGGUGUCCUGUACAGGCCACCCCUUGGUGUUGCUGGGUGCAACCAUGAGGUGUCUGGUGCCAGGGCUAUCACCCCCAGAUGCCCAGUCAAGCGGGGUGACUGCAGAUCUGGGGGUACCAAUGCCCGUGUGUAGCUGCUUAAGCCAUGGGUGCUGUGAGCUGACCACACGUGGAAAGGCGAGGUGUUUCUCGAUCCCCACCCUCAAGGAGCUGACCUUUGAGCUGAGGGCACGAAGCCUGUCAAAGUGAGGUCAUCAGGAAACAAUGACCCUGUAAAAUGACCUGCCCUGGAAAUGCCAAUCAAAACCCCAAUGAUAUCCCACUUCACAACUUCUAGGAAGACCCUCAAAUGUUCCGUGUGUCUCCGUCUCGCUGCGUCCCCAGUUUCAGUCCUCCGUGGAAGGAUUCUCUCCCACCUGAGCACUGGGCACGCCAGGCUGUGUGGCCCUCCUUCUGCCCAGAGUCAGCAGAGACGUCUGAGUGAGGAGCUGAUUCGAGGGCUGCUCUGUGUGUCUGGAGAGGCAGCUCUCAAACUGGAGACACUGAGGCAUCCAGGGAAGAUGGGACUCAGGAGCCCCUGAUCAAUGAGGAGGAGUGGAACCAGAAAGUACAGUCUUAGGAGCUCAGAAGGAAGUUACGAGAACUUUUCUCUCCCUGGAGGCCUGGGGAAGCUGCAUGGAGCAGACAGUGAGUGGCCUCCACUCUCUUCCUAGAGGAGGGUCCUCUGGCCACAGACCCUAGCAUCACCCAGGGCAGGACGCCCGGGGGUCGACACCCAAGAGCUGUCCUCAACAAUGACAGAUGGGGCAGAUGGAGGAUAAAUAUUCCAGGCUUCUAGCCCUGGGUGGGACAUCUCUGGGGCAUGCCCUCCACUGUCCCUGGAGCUCCCCAGGGACUGGCCCCAGCCUCCCCCAUUGCCAGCCUGCCCACUGACACAGCCUGGGCUGGCUCUUCUCCCUGCCCCCCCAAUCAGGUGCGUCCUGGGAUCACCUCCCCAGUGCUCGCCUGCACUGGAGCGACUGUCUCAGAGUCUGCUGUUGGGGAACAAGCCUCAGCAGUGAGCAAGAAGACAAGACUCUCUCCACACGGAAACUCCUGGGGCUUGUCCAGAGGGGUUGUCGCAGUCCUGCGAAGGGUCAACGCCUUGGUCAUCAGCUCUGUUUUGGUGACAGGCAGUCAUAAAACCAAACACAUCUAGUGCUAACAAACUGCAAACAGAGGUGCCCAGACUUGAGGGAGCAUCAGAACCCUCUGCAGGGUUGUUAACUCACAGGUGCCAGAGCCUCAGCCGCGGUAGGACUGCGUUCCUAACCCACUCCCAGAGCAUGCUGGAGCUGCUGGUCAGGGGGCCGCAGCUUGAGAAGCAGUGCCCUCAACCACAGCACAGAGCACACGGGGUCAGGCUCAGAGGGGCUGUGAGGGCUGGCAGGAAACAACCAUAGAGCUAAGGCCUCCUAAUGUCUGCUGAUAAAAACAAUGCCUGGAAUUCUGAUGUCUCAUGGUCAUCAAGUAUUAAAUCAAGUAUUACUUUCUGCUCCCCUGGCCAUUCCUUCAGACCUGCCUGGAGUGUAGUUUGCCCGCCUUUGAAGCCGCCUGGGCUCGGCCUGCUCGCGGUUCUGAGCUGCUGUUCACAGCAGUGGCCACAUGAGUGUCGUCCAGGCUCCGGCAGGAGCUGCUCUCCACAGCGGAGGCGCAGGGACAGCGUCCGGGGCGUCUCUGCUGCCUGGUCAGCUCUGAGACUGUGAGGGUGUUCUUGUCACCAAAUGGAAGUGCUCCAUUCCUCAAACGUUUGAAAAUGCUGCGAAGGCCAAGAGCAGCCUUGUCUGGACACUGCGCUGCCUUUGUUGUUUCUUCUCUCCCUAGGAGUGGUCGUAGAGCCUUUUGGGGAAGUGGCUGUCUCUUUGCCUCCCAAAGCAGCAGAGUUGUACUGUUUGGAAUCUCUCAGGUGCUGUCUCAAAUGCUGCUUUGUUAAUGUUGUGGUCAAAUAUUUGGGAUUUUUAACUUCUGCCUGGGGGAGGUUUCAAGGCGAUAGAUGAACAGUGUAUGUAGGACAAAAUGGCAAAAAUGAUGAGUGGGUGGAAGGAUCAGUUCAGGGGCGAAGGUCCCUGAGGGAGCCAGUUCUCGCCGGCUAGGUGCCAAUGGUGGGGAGAAGUUGUUGAGAAGACACUGCCCCUCACGAUGUCCCCUGGAUGCGCUGAGACGGUCAGGGCAGGCAAACACUCCCAGGCUGAUCUUCCUACUCGGGCCACGGGGCCCUCGGGGUGCUCAGAGCCGUGAGGGAUCCCAUUUCUGCUGGGGGGCCCACGGGGCCCUGACAAGGGGAACUGGCCGUGCCCCAAGCCUCGCAGCCCACCCUCCAUAGUCCCAGGAGGGCCUGGCUUCAGGAGGGGGAGAAGGGCAGCCGUCAGCAAAUGGCCAGGUGGUUGUGUCCACUUUCUAGUAACUCUGCUGUGCUCCACCCUGAGUGGAGCAGAGGCUGCCUUUGAUUUAAUUUAAAGAUUUAGGCCCGAGUUCUGGCACAUGGUACAGCUAUUAAAGAGUAUACAAGAGUUUAUAAGGAAAAGCCACUGCCUCUUGUCCUGUCGUUCUUCCCCUCCCUGUCUACGUCCCUGGGGCAAACACUGGCCACUGUUUCUAUUUUUUGUCUCUUUGGCUGUUACCUCUAUAAUUCUAAAUAAUAAGCUUGUAAUUCAGUUGCUUCAUUUAUCAACUUUAGACGGUCUCCGAUGACUCCAUUAUAAGGAAAGCUCACUUACAAGACAGACGCUCAGCCAACUUUAUUAUGUUUAGUUCCAGGGGUUACCUUUGUAGCUUGAAAUAAAUAAUUACUCCUCUGCUCCCUGUCCCAUCAGUGAUAGAGAAUAUCGUCUCUCCCUGCUCUCCCGGAUGAAGUGUCAGUCCUCUCAGCCGUUUCUUCCUAAGCCCCGUCUUAGCGAGUUGCAGUCAACUCCGUGCUCGCCUCCUCCUAUAGUAACAGUAUCCUGAUUUGUAAUGUCACAUGCCCACUGUGCCUGAAGACCAUGCUUCCUAGUUUCUCUCACAGUUAGACCUGGCAUGUGACUCUUUUGGUUGAUGAGAUAUAAUUUGAAGUGUUGUGUGGGACUUCCUGAAAGAAUGGAGUGUAGACCAUCUUUUCUCCCUUCUCCAUUCCACUACUUGAAAUGCAGAUGUGAUGGCUGGUGCUUUGGCUGCCCGUUUGGACCAGGUAGAUGUGGGCCACAUCCUAGGGAUGGUGGAGUGGAGGGUGGAAGGACUUGGUUCCCUUGUGAUUUCACGGGAGCUACCCCAAGAGCUCUGGAUUGCAUACACACAGACUUCUUUUAGGUGACUGAAAAAUAUAAUUCUAUUUUGUUUACUUCAUUUUGAGUCCAUUUGUUAGAUGCCAUCAAGUCUAAUCCUAACUAUUAUAGUCACCUGCCUUGCAUCUCUGGUGUGUGCUAUGGCAGAUCACAUAGUCACAGGUGGCCACACUGUUGUCUGUCUCCCAUAUCAGAUCUUGAUACUUGAAUGGCACUCCUCGCAAAAGAGGCAGCAUCUAUGUUCUUUUCCCUGGAACCUGGGAAAGUUGUGUUCUGAGCCGGGUCAUAGAAAGUGAGAUGGCUUCCACCUGGCUUGCUUGCUCUCUCUCCUUCUCACACUCCCUCCGCUUCUCCCUCUGUCCCUCUCUCUGUCUCUCUCGACGCUUGCCCUUGAACCCAGCUGUCACGCUGAGAGGAAGCCCGAACUUCUAGCUGGAAAGAGGACACAGAGUGGUCUGUCUGAGGAGGAGAUGAGGCCCAGGUGACAGCUAGCAUUGACCAUCAGACAUGUAGUGAGUGAGCCUCUGAGUUAUCUAGCUGAGGUUCCAGAUAUCAUGAAACGGAAGCCAGCUGUCCCCACUGUACACUAUUGAAAUUCCUGACCCACAGAAACCAUGGAUGAAAUAAACGACUGUUUCCUGCUGUGACUGGGGAACCAGCAAGGAAAGGGUUAUUGGGAAUCUGUUCAAUGACUAACCUUGGCUGUGAAAUGUUUGCCAGCAAGGAGAAACUAAAUGUUUUAUUUUUUCAGAAGCUGACCUCCGGUCUUGCAGAUGUUGCCAUCUUGCAGAGAAACUUGCAUGCUUUCAGCAAAACCCUCCAGCCCCAAGUGUCUACAAGUUACCUUGAACUGGUCUCCGCUCAGAUGUCGUUGAACUGGGAAGGCUUCCGGGAGACCCUCGGCUGCGUCAGAUGAGUCUGGAAUAGCACAUACCCUCUCCAUCUUCCAGAAGUGUGUUCCUGGUACAUGUGCCAUGGGCUAGAGUUUAAGAGGAAAGGAGAGACAAAGUUGGGGAAGAAACUGAACCAGCAAAUGUUUGGAGAGUUCCCAUUGAACUUGCCAUCAAGGCCAGCUUGGCCUUCAAAGACUGCUUUGUGGUCACAUCUGGGGAGAUGAUGGCGUCUUCUUCAUCCUCACACCUCAACGCCUGGCCCAGCCCCAGCUGGGAUUCUCCUCGCAGACGUUUGGGCAGAUAGUGGAGAAGGAAAGAGCUUCCCAGGUCUUCGCGAAGAUGGGACAUAACACAUCAAACCACAUCGUCACUGAGUGCUCUACAAAGAGAGGGCACAAGACUCUGACCUCCAAAAGCAGCACCGUCCACUUUGCUGGUGACUCCGGAAGCUUCUUGCUUUUAUCCUCUGUCAGAUCACCAGACCUGGGCUGUGCGUGAUAUCUGGCUGACCCCGCAGUCAAGGAGCACAGAAUAUGCUUCCAAAAGCUGCCUGCUUAUGAAGGAAGAAAUCCUGUUUUCCCUGGAGCCUGGCUGGCCUCUGAGCGCUGUCACCACCAUGACUCUGCCAAGACAACUCACCUCUGUGUUCGUGCCCCCACCAUCUGGAUCCUCUUUGCACUGCUCGAGGGUCCGCCCUUCCUCCUGCCCCAUGGGCCUGCAGCAGAGGGUGCGGCAUCUCUGGGGUGGAAAUAGCUGGGGCUAAGGUCUGGGUGUGGCCGGUCUGCCCUCUGUGGCGCCUUGGCUCCAUGCUCUCUCUCAGAGCAAAGCGCCCUUCCUCCACUGCCAUCACUUCCCGGUGUCACUGUCUGCCAUGCCCGACAUCCGCCCUGAGCAUUGCCGCGUCUGAAUUUUUGCUGGUGAGUUUCUCUGAGGGGUGCGAGCAGUGGGGUGGCUGGGAAGAGAGGUGGUGAGACCUUGGUAACCCCACAUAGGGGCCCAGUCUCCCCAGAAUAAAAGCCCUAACUCAGAUGCAGAGUUGCUGGAGGAUUCAAGCCCAAGUGUCACAGGACAGCUCGGGGAGGGAUGCCCGGGGGAGGAGAAAUCCGGUUUUCUCUGGGUGCAGGCCUCCUGACUGCGUGACUGCCCCAGAAUGAGGGUGCAGAGGCUUGAAGCCAGGGCCCCUCAAGGCCCCUCCUCACUCUGGUGCUCUGAGCUUCCCCGUGGACUUUCUCUGACAAAACACUUGUGGCUGCCCUGACUCCUUUAGUGAGGUCCAGAUGGAGAGAGCUGCCAGAGCCCUGCUUGUCGGAACAGGGCCCCUUGUGCACAGGGCUGAGCCCCACAUCCAAACUCAUCAGCUCUGCCGCUGCAAACGGAGACCAGCCUUAUGUCUCCUCACCCUGGUUCAGGGCUCCUUUCACCCACGGGCGAAUCAUCGGCCAGAACCGAACAUACGGAACAGACGGAGGAAGGGCCGCAAGUCUGCCAUUUUCCUGGGGUGGAGGCUUUGGAGGGAAGGAUUGAAAGCGAUACAGAAUGAGCUUGUGUUUGCAGAGUGGCUUCCAAGGAUGCUGUCCUGUGCACAGAGCCCCAGAGGAGUGAAGUGUGGAGUUCCUCGGCCCUCACCAGGAAGCACACGCCCGCUGGAGGUGGGACCAGUUAGGGUCCAAGGCAAAAGGCAGCACCUAUGAAGGGGAUGAGAGGGCUGGUGGGAUUGGGGGGCCAGAUGUGCAAAUCAGGAAGGCCAGCAGAGAUCAGGCUCAGCCCUAGUCUGUCCUGGAAACAGAAACUCUUGUGUUGUCCUUGGAGGUCCUGUGGUGGGGUGGGCCUCUGGGAUCUGAGAUCCUGUUUCGCCAGCGUUUCCCUCAGCAGUGCAGCCAAGAUGGGGUUGGUGAAGGAACUAUGCUUGACGGAAUUCCAUUCCUGCUGUACUCCAUGAGUGUUUCAAACACAACAUGGUGACCAAAAAUUGUCCCUCGUGGUUGGCAUCAGAAUCCCUGUAGGGGAGAAUGUUCCUCGUUGAGGAAGUGCUAGGGUAAGGCUGAAACCACCUCGGUCCCUGUGAUAUGUCAUAAGAAACAUACACCAAUAUUUGCUCCUCAUUUCUUGCACAGAGCUCCUAAAACCCUUGGAAUUUCCUGUGAUAAGAGCAAUAAAGAUGUCUUUCGUCAUGUUAAUGAGGUGACUUUUGGGAAGCACUUGGGGGAGGAUGGGGGCUGGCUGCCAGGAGAACCAACCUUGAUUAGGGGGUUGGACUUCCAGACCUCCGGGAGCGGAAAGGGGCAGGAGGUUGCAUCAGUCACCCACGACCAAUGAUUCAAUCCAUCCUGCCUGUGUAGUGAAGCCUCCAUAUAAACCCAAAAGGAUAGGGUUUGCAGAGCUUCCAGGUUGGUGAACCUGUGGAGAUUCGGAGAGAGUAGUGCUCCUGAAGAGGGCAUGGAAGCUUCUAGCCCUUCCCCCAAACCUUGUCCUAUGUGUCUCUUCCAUCUAGCUGUUCCUAAGUGAAAUCCUCUUAUAAGAAACUGGUGAUCCAUUAAGGAAAAUGUCUCCCUGAGUUCUGUGAGCCACUCUACAAAUUAAUCGAAUCCAAGGAGCGGGUCGUGGGAACCUUCGACCUAUAGCCAGUUAGUGAGAAGCUCACAUGACAAUGUGGACUUGUGAUUGGCAUCUAAAGUGGGGGCAGUCUUGUGUUACUGAGCCCUUAACCUGUGGUGUCUGACACUAUCUCCUGGUUGAUGGUGUCAGAGUUGAGUUGAAUUCUAGGACACCCCGCUGGAAUCAGAGAAUUGAUUGGAUGUGUUCGAAAUAACCCACACAUUGGAACUGGGCACAGGAUAUUAGUCCCCCUCCACCAGGGACUCCAGGGGCUGCUGGUCUAAGGCUUCUGAACAAAGGAAAGGAGUCUGGGAAGGAAGAGUGUGGAGGGGCCAGGGAGAUCAUGGAAGGCUCCAUGUUAACCUCAGGAACCUGUGCUUAAGCCUGAAAAUUUUUCAGAGGCCUUUAAAAGUGCUUCCAAGGAAUAUAGGAAUGGUCCAUAAGCACAUAAAGAGGUGCCCCCAAAUUAAGCUCUUCUAAGAGAUUAGGAAAAGGUGUUCAUCAACCACAGACAUUGUGAGUCAGCAUGCUGUGCUCUAGUGACACGUGUCCCUUCUCCUUGGAAUCCUCUCAUCUCGUGGGCCUUUCAUCCUUUUGAGAGUUUUCCUCUGGGAUUCUCUGUCAUUAGAUUAGCAAACAUGUCAUUAAUGCUCAGCCAAAUCAAACAGAAGCGAAACACAAAUGAUGUUGCAGGAUGGAACAAGGAGCGAUGGUCUCUCGGGAGCAGUGGUCUCUCAGGGCUGGUGGUCUCUCAGGGGCGGUGGUCUCUCAGGAGCCGUGGUCUGUCAGGAGCAGUGGUCUGUCAGGAGCCGUGGUCUCUUGGGAGCCGUGGUCUGUCAGGAACCAUGGUCUCUUGGGAGCAGUGGUCUGUCAGGAGCUGUGGUCUCUUGGGAGCCAUGGUCUGUCAGGAACCAUGGUCUCUCGGGAGCCGUGGUCUGUCAGGAACCAUGGUCUCUCGGGAGCCGUGGUCUCUGGAAGCAGGUCCUCGGACGGUUUGCUAGAUGAGGCUUCCUCCUUGAGUGGCGGCAUGUUCUGUUCCCCUGGGCCAGGCCUCCGCAGCCUCUCCUGCCCCAGCUGCUCUAGUUCUGUGACCACUGAGGAUGCAUUGUCUCCUCCUGGACGGAAGUUUUCUGCUCUGAUGUUUUGCACAUCCUUGGGCAAGGUCAGCCUCUAAACAGGAGCAUGGGCAUGGGGGAGACCCUCAGCAAAGACCACCCACCUUUCUCCUGGGGGUUGAGGAGGAGCUGAGGCUCCAUGUUGUUACGGAGAUAGUUGUGUUAUGAAGCAAAUAAUGCAGCUGGAGAAACUCCAUGGCGGGAUGAGGUCCAGUGCCCCAGCAUCCAGCGGUCACUCUGCCUGACCAGCCAGGAGCCUGGGAGGAAGUUCUUACCGAAAUCCAGCUCAUGGGAAGCACAUGCUGGCACCAAGUGUGAAGGAACUCUCCACAUUCGUUGUGACUUUAUCUAAAGUUGUAUACGUGGUAGGCUGGUCUGACGCCAGCCUCAGCCUUGUGAGAAAUCUAGGAAGGCAAUAACCCUGGUUCACCAGGAGGUGGCUCUGCUGUGCAUGCUUGGUGCCAAUGGCACAGCACACAUGUGGGCCAUUUUGUAUUUUGAAUCAAGUGUCACCAACACACAACAAUUCCCUAGAGCAUAGAAUAAAAGCCUCCAGUGUGCCCUGGGGAGAACACUGAGUUGGCCGUGGCUCAGCUUGGGAGGAGCGAUGGGAGACCCGGGAGGAAGCAACUGCACGUGUGGCCCAGGCCUGGUCCGUGGAGGACAUUCAAGGCACUCCAGAUGGGGCAGCUGGCUCCCGGUCAGGAGAAAUCCAGCCUUCUGCCAGCUGUGAGCAUCCUAGGGUGUUGUCUGCAUGUGGGGUGGCCUGGGAGGUGGGUCCGGAGGGUGUUUGUUAGUUGAUUUAACAUUCUUUGAGCACCCCCUGUGCUGACACAUAUCAAGUGCUGUCACUGCUGUGGUGGGCUCUCAUCCCCGCCCACGAAGCUCUCAGGGUCUGGGCACAGAGGUAGGAGUGGCUCAAGAUAGACACUCGAGAUGGCACUUCAGGACAGGAGGACAGGUGCUGGGGUAGAGGCAAGCCACGGCUGCAACAGGCACAGAAGAUGCCACCCAAUGCAGCCUAGGGCAUCAGUGAAGGCCGCCUGGAGGAAGGGAGGUCUAAACAGCCCCAAAGAUAAAUGGGAGUUAUCGGGAAAGGAUGGGACAAGAGCGUUCCCACGUAGGGAGCAGCAGAGCCUCCUCUCCAGAGGAGAGUGAGAGCAGAAUGCAUCUGAGCUCUGAGGGUGGUCAAGUAGUAAGAAAUGAUGCUUUCGUUGCUGGUUGACCACUCCCAAGGUAUGGACAACUGUGUGUGUGGUACAUGGGCUAUGUACGGAGUUACUAUUUCCGAGAAAAAGCUAGCCACUUGUAAUCAUGUUUACAUUUUGUCUUUGAAUUUUGGGAAAUUCGUGUUUCUCUCCAUUCUGCUGGUUAAUUAUGCUGGAAGAUGGCAGUGGGGAGCGACGGCUCUUGGCCAUCGCAUUUCUUGAGAGAAGCUGUGGGGGUGAAAGUGAAGGAUCAGCAGAUCAGGAGUCACCCUGUGGGUGCAGGUUUGCUGCAUUUAAGGCACUCUCUGGGCCUCUGCCUAUGCGACCUCUCUGAUCUUACCUUGUCAAAGGAGACGAAGCGUGGUCUGAGGCUGGCACUCUGCCUCUUCACCUGUCAGGACUGAGGAGCAGCUGGUGCCUGGCUGACACGGGUGAGCCUGAAGCGUGAGCACCGUACAGGCUCCCUAUGAAGAGGCUUAACUGUGUGUUUUCAUUUUUACUGAUUAAAUACCUUGGUUACAGCUGACUGUGUACAUUCCCUGGGUUCCUACAGUCAUCCUAUCCACCCUGGCACACACACACACACACACACAUUCAUGCACAUGUGUCACUUCAGCAAAAGGUCUGGUUUGCUUUAAAUGCCCAAGUAUCUACAAAGAAAUCCCAAGAGUGUGGGAAAGUCACAUCUGUGCCUAAAUCCAUCAUGAAGGGAAAGGAGAGCUAUUUGCAGAGGUAGUCUUUCCUUCUCGGAAGGCAGUAAGGCCAGAAGCUGGGGUGCGGUCGGGUGUGGCGGGGAGUGGCUGUCUCGGGACAGUGGUUCUCAGACUCCGUGCCCAUUGGAACCACCCUGAAGCUUGAAAAGCGCUGCUGCCCAGGCCACACCCCAAACCAGUAAAAUCGCACUCUUCCGAGGGUGGGGCCCAGGCCUUUUCAAGUCCUCCGGGUGAGUCUGGUAUCCCGUCAGCACAGAGAACUAGUGUCUUAGGAGGAGCAAAGAGGCAGAAGUGUGGCGGGCCUUCGAGCCCCACUGGCCCCGUGGCCUGGCACUGCGACUGUCCUCCAUGACAACCCCAUGACUUUCUGGUGUGUGGGCUCCAGGUAGGUGUUUCCCUCUGAUGUGGGCAGUUGCUGCCAUGGCUCAUGUCCCACCUAUUGCUGCUCAGAAUGUCUGCAUUUUCCCUGAAAGUCGUCUGACCUUCUCCUGCUGGGUCUAAACCCCUCAGGAGAGCACUUUCCUGCUCCUGUCACUGCACACAAACACAGGUUCUUCUGCUUGCUGCACAGGAGGUCCGAUAAAGGAAAACCCUGAAACACCAGGCUUGUGGCAAGGAAAGGGGUUUGCUAUCGAACAGCAGCCAGAUGAGGAGGUGGGAGUUAGAACUCGGAUUCACAUCUUUGAAGGGAGAAAGGUAGGGGUUUUUAUCUGGGGUUUUAGGUAGGGGAGUGGGAGCAUGUGGCCGUGUUGUUGGUGCCUUCCCACCAGCCAGUAUUUGGCCUUGACGACUGAAUUUCUUUUCCCUUGACUGUCUGGACUUUUCUGGUUAGUUCUCAUCUUCAGCCCACGUUUGGCCUCAUGAGGCUGAAUCUUGACGUCUGGACCUGACUCCCUGGGAAAGAAGCUCACUCAUAUACUAGCGAGGGACGGAAGGACCUGGUUAGUUUUGAACAACAGUUGAUUAUGCUGAGGAUGCACAGCCGCAGGUUAGCAAAGCUCAUCUCAGAGUUUUUCUCUUCUUCUAGCCCGGGGGAGAUUGUUUAACUUCUUCAUGCUCAGGUUCACUCCCAGAGCCUCCUUUUCUGUGCUAGGAUUACAGAACUGGGCCAGGUUACUGCACCUAGACAAACGCUGAGUUGACAUACCAGAGAGACCAGCUUAUGGUGGGAGACACAAGAAAAUGUAUUUGUUCUUCAUCAAGUCACUUUCAGCUAGGCACGAGGCUUUGGUUAAAGCCAAGACUCAGGAGAGGAGACGCCGGCCAGCUUGCACCACAUCCUACUGUGCUCGCCACCAUCCAGAGAUGCCGGCCAGCUUGCACCACGUCCUGCUGUGCUCCAAGCUCUUACAGGGAAAGUUGGUUCUGCUUCUGACAUGGAGCAUCUUUGUCUGGGCCACGUCAGCUCUGGCUCAUGGAGGAAAUACGGACACAAGGAGAGUUAAUAAGGGGGGGAGGUGGGGACCCCUUCCACCUGCCGACCUGCUGGGGCUCACCUGAGGUUGGGAGUGAGGGGCUCUCUUGGCUCAGGUCUCGGUCUUGUGCUCAUCUGAAAUCCUAGCGGAGCUGGGAUUGUACAGACAGGGAAAUGGGCUGUGGCACUGCCUUCAUUUUCCGCUUAAGCCGAGAAACACUCCAGAAGUGGGCUUGGGGGCUGGAUCAGCAUCACACCUGCUUCUUGCUUGCUUGGACAGCCCGGAUGUCACAUUCUCUGUGCUAGGUUGACGUCUGCCAGCCUCACGGUACGAAGACCCUAGAAGACAGCAGUGCGGACAGGGCAGCUAGUUCACAUGCGCAUUGAUUUCUGUCUCCUCUCCCUGGUACUGCCCCUCCCAGUGCCAGUGGAAGGCCAGGUUCUGUGCCCCUCUACAGCAGGGGAGUUCACGUGGGGCUUGAAGACAACCUCCUUCCUGGCCUGAGUUCCUGGCAGGGCUUCUGCCAGGGGGGAGACAGGUAGAGGUAGCAGUGGCCAGAAAAAAGGGAAUUAUUACCUCUACCUGUCUGAGGAUGGAGCUUGGGGGUGCUAAAGGCAGGUCUUGUAACAAUCAAGGGUCUCAGAAGGGGAGGGGCUUAUUCCCAGCUUUGGCUUGCCAAAGGCAGGCAGCUCCAUCCCUGUCUACCACAGUAAUCAGGGCAGCACUGGGGUGAGGCAAGAGGCACAGAACAUUUAAGGAGGUGCCUACUCUCUGGGUCAUGCAAAUGCCAGCCCUGCACUUGCACUGCCUGGAGAGGGGGCGCCUCCUUAGCUUUUGUACCCUAGGCACUUUCUUGCCUCAGCCUAGUCCUGACCCAGACAGUAAUUAUGAAUCUCACCCUUAUCACUCAAAACUCUCCCAAUUGGGAAGACAAAUUUUAUGGGCACCCUACUCAGAGAGGAAUGGUGGCUCUGGUGUUCCUGGAGAGGAUAAUCCUAGGCAUCUGUGUGCCAGGACUGGGAAAGAUGGCCGUGUUCUAAGCUGAGACAAGAGGUACAUGCGUUCAAGCACCCUUGGGAGUGCGGGUGAUGAGGACGUCUGGCUGUGCUGGGCUGAAGGUCAGAGGUCUUUCACGUUUCCUGGGCCACAGCGUGAGCCUCUAGGCUCUGCUGUGAUCCCGGGGUGGUGGGCGAGCCCAGUACCAAUGGAGGGGGCUUUGUUGCCAGCUGAGUGAGAUGGAGGAUUGGAGUCAGACUUACAAAUAUCCAAGAAAAUAAAGAAUAUGUAUUGGCUUGUAUCUGAAUCUGAAUGGAAAUACCUAGAAGGACAGACAGGAAACAGGUUACCCUGAUGGCCUCUAAGGAAGGCAACCAGGUGGUUGGGGAGCUGAAGGGAGACUUAAUUUGCACUAUGUACCUUUUUGAAUGUUCUACCAUUGAAAGGCAUCACCUACGAAAAGAUAAAGGAAAUUCAACUUAAAAAGAAAAGUUAAAAAUAUGGCUUUUUUUCACACCCACGUUUAUGGGCCUAAGAUGCAAACCAGUCCUAUAAAGGCUGGUCCCUUCAGAUGCCUCGCACGCUGCCGAGAGGGGCCGCCAGACACACUGGGAGCUCCUGCUUCCUGAUUCGUAUUUGCAGACACGACACCAUGCCUCAAACACAGCAAGCAGUAUUCAGUCAAUAGUUUAGGAUGUGCUUAAAUUCUAUAUUUAAGCUUAGAUUGGGAGCUCCAAUCUAAGAUGAGGCAACUUUUUGUUUGUUUGAAAGAAAUAACAUUUAAAAAGGCAAAUCAUGCUACCUUUGUGGAGUCUGUGCAUAAAAUCUGAGUGUCUCUGCUCCUCGGUGCAGAAUUCCUUAGGAGAGGGGUUGUACCUGUGGAAAUCAACAAGGUGGAAACGCCUUGUUGAAAGAUUCUCUCGACAUCCAUUCCCCAGCCCUCUGUCUGCCAGGUGCUGCCCUAGGCAGAAGGGAUGCAGCGGUGAGAGAACUCAGAGGCCCUCCCCUUGGGAGCUCAUGUUAGAGUGAGGCAGGGAGCAGCGGCAGACAGUAAAGAUGUAAAUAUAUUCCAUGCCUUCCAAGGAUUAGGGCGGGGGAGAAAGGACCGGCAGCUGGGGAAGGGUGGAGGUUCGCAGGUUUGGGUGAUUACUCUUUCACAUCAGGUGGUCAGAAAAGGCCUCCCGGAGGAGGAGAUAUUUGAGCAGGGAUCUGAAGGAAGUGUUUGAGCCCGCCAUGUAAAUAUCCGGAGAGAGCAUUCCAGGUGGAGGGAAAACCCUGGGCAACGUGGUGGGAUUGGUGUGGGGCACAGGGACAGGAACGGGGAUGAGGAUCAGAUGGAACAGUCAAUGGGGCCAAAUUACCUACUAAGAACCAUGGAUUUUCCUCAGAAGGACAGCUAGCACUAUUGCAAGGCUCUGAGCUAGGGAGGUUUAGGAGGAGCGUCCAGGCUGCUGGGAGGAGUCUAGGCUUCUUGGAGGCGACCAGUUUUGGGGCAUUGCAGGAACCCAGGCAGAUGAGGAUGAGGCUGGGGCCGGGUGGUCACCAUGGGUGUGGUGGGAGGUGCUCAGACAUCAAGAAAGAGUGGACUGGGAUAGUGCCAAGCUGCAGCAGUGAUGGAGUUACUGUCAAGUGAGGUGGGGAGAGAUGAGGGGAGACCAGGCCAGCGGGAUGGGGAGGAGUGAGGAGUGAGUCUGAGCUGCUCAGGGCACCUAUGUGAGGUUGCUGAGCAAGCAGGUAGAUGCUUGUGCAGAGCUUGGGGGAGACGUGGACGGAAGUACAAUUUGGGAGUUGUUUCUUACAGAUGGCACUUGAAGCCAUGGGCUGGAGAGCUCUCCAGGGGCGGGAAAGUGGACAGAAGAGGCCUGUGAAUGGAGCCUGGGGCCCCCCAAUGCUGAUCCUCAGACGAGACACUGGGAGUACAGGAGGGCCACCGUGCCCAGGCUCCUGGAGGUCAGAUACCAGCCAGACAAUGCACGUGUUCCCACCCCUCAGCUUUUCCACCUUCGGAUUGUUCUGAACUGAAGGGAAAUGAGAGCAAGUCUCAUGACGGGCUUGUUACGGAGCCAUGUGAAUCUUCUGGCCAGGACGCAGAACUGUGUCACUCUUGACCAUUUCCUAGGAAAAAGAGUAGUUUUCCUAGGACAAGGGGCAUUUCCAUUACUUUUCAGUUUCUUUUUCUUCUGAAAGUCAGGUCAUUUGUUUGUGGUUUGGAAAGCGCCCGGGUUUCCAACAUGCUCAGUCAUGGAGCCCCAAACUCUCAUGGCCCUGGUCCCAGAGACGUAAUUGGACAUUAAAAACCAGCAGGGGUGCACUUCUGGGUGGGAAGUGCACUGUGCUGCCGCCAGUGCAGCAGCUCUGCCAGGGGGCCAGCGGGGGGCCAGCUGGGAGGAGGCCCCUGGGAAGCCAUGGGCAAAAGGAGCUUCUAAUGUCUGCCUCAAGCACAGUGUUGGGUGUCCAUGGAUAGACGCUUAGGCACACUGCCCAGGCUGCUUUCCUCCCGGGCCACCAGUGUGUUCCUCCUACCCCACACUCCCUGCGCAUUGGCCAGAGAACAUUCUCUUACUAGCUUUUUUUUUUUGUGCAAAUCACAGCUCACUCUGUGGGUUGGGAACAAGUUCUAGGGGAGAAAUUAGAUCUCAGGAUCACGCUGAGAUGUCAUAAAAGCUCAUGACAAGCAUUUCCCUCACAUACUUCCGAAGGCAGGAGGUCAAGUAGCUGGGUUAACACAGUAGUGUGUUUCCAGAGAGGUCCAGAUUAUUUGGCUGGGCUGUGUCUUACUUUCGAAAUGUGAGCACUUGCUCCCCAGAGUCGGGAACAGAUGGUCUCCUCAGCUAAACAUAGUGUGCAGCAGGGCUUAGCAAGCUGCACUCUUUCCUGCUAAGGGCUUUCCGGAAGAGAGUGACCUGGUCACAUAAGGCCACGUGUCAUUGGCUGUCCAUCCCCAGCCCACACUGCAUUCCUUCUCAUACGGGGUGAGAGAAAUGGAAGUGGGUCUUCUCUUCCUCCUUCCCUUCCCACCUGCUCUAAGUUCCUGGCAGCCCUCGCCUGGGCCCAGGUCAGCGCCGGGGCAUGGACAGCGCCUGACUGCUCUCAGUCUGUGGAGGCAGAAGCAACCUAGAAACGAAGCGCCUUCUGCGUGGGAGUUAGUAGUUCUUCUUGGAUGGAGGUCCGUGUCUGCUCAUUCCAGGGUCUCCACUGAGAUGAGGUCUAGAAUAAGUGAAAGCCACUCACUUUCAAAAACGGAAAUUGGAAGAAGUGAGAUAGUCUGUGGCCGCCCCUGGCUCAGUGCCCAGCAUGCAGUAAGUACGUGCCCCGAAACAUCAGCUCGCCUUCUUGUCAGUUACCAACCAUGUCGUGAAAAAUAAAACCAAUACUCCCAAAGCUGAAAAUGGAGUCUGCUCAGGGUCCUGUACUUUCUAACAGUGAUAAUCCAUAACUGAGUUAUCAAUGUAUUUGAUAAUUGUGUUAUCAAGGAAACAUACUUUUGAAUUACUAAGGCAAUUCUAAGAAAAUUUUUACAAGGAGUUUUUGGUUAACUAGCAUUACACAUGUUGUGGCCUCCUGGAUUAUGGUGGAUGGAGUUUUACUCUGUUCCCUAAAAGUGGCAUACCCUCCCACUCCUUCACUCUGUGUAAAUCUAGAACAGAGUCAGCUAACUCUAUCUCAAAGAGCUGGGAGUAAAUAUUUUCAGCUUUGUAGGCCAGAUGGUCUUGUCACUACUACUCAGGCAUGCUGUCGUGGAGCGCCCAUGGACGCACAUCAGGGAGAGGGCACGACUGUGUUCCAAAAAGAGGCUUCCAGGGGCCAGCCCAUGGCCGAGUGGUUAAAGCUCUGUGUGCUCUGCUUUGGCAGCCUGGGAUUUGCGGGUUUGGAUCCUGGGGAGGGGACCUACUCCUCUCGUCGGCCGUGCUAUGGCAGCAACCCACAUACAAAGCAGAGGAGGACUGGCACAGAUGUCAGCUCGGGGACAAUCUUCCUCACAAAAACAAAAGCAUAAAACAAAAAAGAGGCUUCCAGGGUGGACCCUGGUUUGCUGACUCCUGCUUUUAGGGAGGUGCUAUCCAGCAGAAAUAUGAGCCACAUAUGUGAUACCCUUUUUAGUAGCCACAUUUAAGAAAAGGCAAAAAGAAAGAGGUAAAAUUAAUUUUAAUAAUAUAUUUUAUUUAACCCAACACAUCUCAAGUAUUACCAUUUCAACAUGUAGUCAAUAAAAAUGAGCCAUUUUAGAUUCUUUUUCCACACGGUCUUCAACAUCCGGUGUGUGUUCCACACGGACAGCACAUGGCACCUUGUAAGAGCUUCGUGGAUAGAACACGUGUCCGGCAGCCCCGUCCUGGACAGCGUAGCUCUAGAGAGCGUAUUUCACAAACCGUGUGAAGGUCGUCCUUUCUGGCUGGGUCAGUCUCCAAUCAGCUCUCUGUUCCUUUCCUCUUUUGGAAACACAUUGCUCAGGUCUUCUCCACGUGAAGGGCCAGAGAGUAUGAUGGGGUAGCGUUGCAUGUGUGUGUGUGCAUGUGAAUGUAUGCAUGUGGCUGCAUGCGUGCAUUUAUGUGUGUGUAUGUAUAUAUGUGUGUGAGUGUGUGCAUGUAUAUAUGUGUGUGAGUGUGUGCAUGCCUGUGUGUGACUGUAUUUAGCAACCUCAUCCUCUGUGGGAGGCAAGAUUAUGAGGAUGCAAUCCCUGUGCCCAGGGAGCCACCAGGGCCCAGAAAGUAUAGUCGGAGGCAUGGUGCCCGCAGGCAGAGGCGGCCACAGUGUGGCCCACAGAAGUGAGGGAGCUCGGAAGGAUGGCGGGUUUUCAUCAUGCAGUGCAGAAAGGCUGGCAGCCACCUCAGGGCAAGGGCAAGGGCAAGGGCAAGGGCAAGGGCAAGGGCAAGGGCAAGGUACUGACGCCUCUGUGAAGGCCAGAAGAUUCUGGAUGCAGCCAGGGAGGCGUGAGGACUCUGUCUGGGACCCAGUGGGAGGUUUGAGAAGGGGAGCGAGGCUUCGCUGGAGGAGUUCCGUGGAAAAGCAGAUCGGGCAGCAGCCGCUGGAAGAAAGUGAGGCUGGAGCUGGGACACCUCCUGAGAGGCUCCUGCCUGUAGUAGGCGCAGAGACGAUGGGGACGGGGACAGUGUGGGUCAAAUGGGCAGGGCACUGUGGCCAGUGGGCUGAGGAGAAGCAGGCAGAGAGGCUGGGAGAGACAGGUGCCUGGGGAACUGUAGUGGUUUUUCCUGGAAGCUGGGCAGUUCUGAGGAAAGGGGGUGGGUGUGGGUUUGGUCCCGUGGAGAGACCGGUCUGCACAGAUGUCUGGCUUCCCCUGAUGUGCACCCCGUUCUUAGCCGGAGAAGGGACGAAGGGAGCAGGGAGUCAUCAGCAAAGGAGUGAGGGUGGAAGCUGGGGUGGGAGGCAACUUCAUAAGCAGCUCCUUUUCUUCAAUGAUAUGGCUUCGAUUUAAUUUAAAGGUCACGUCAGCAUCCUAUUAAUGAAUGGAGAUUAAUUCCUGUCUCUUUACUUAACAUCCUGACCCUUGUUAUCAGGCAUUUCCUCUGACAUUUUCUAACAUCAGGAGAAUUUCUAAACUUUCUUGGGUACUCAGGAGGACUUCAAAGGCUUUUCAAGAUACGGAAGUACUGAAUAUCCCCUUUCCUCAUCCUGCAGCAUGAUUUAAAUAGAAUUGUGUCAACACAUUGCAUGGUGUUUUGUUUGAAGUCUGUGAUGGAGACAAUUUCAUUCAAUCUGUUGUGCUUUAGAAAUGCUAUAGGUCGGUCCUAGAGCACAGAAGUCAUUUGGGACGUUUCCAGGCCUGCGGCUGCCAGCGAGAGGUCUUGUGAUGGCCGGGAGGCCCCAGCUUUGCUGGUCUUUUCUGAAUGUGUCAAAUGGGGGUGAGAUGUGGACCCUGUCCCUGGAUUGGCACCUCUGUUCCACAGAGACAGAGGGUUGAGGCUGGUCCUUCAAGGCGGGGGUGGGAAGAGGACCUGCGAGAGGACUUUUCCUCCCUGUCCCUUAAAACAGUGAAGCAUCCAGUUUUGGGUUCUAUGUAAAGUGUAGUUUUGGGGAAAACAACUGACCCACAGUGUGAGAUCUGAUCCUCUUUUUCUUCCUGGGGAGGACACGUGAUGUGGGUGGACAUUAUCCCAGGUGGUUGAGCCCUGCUUGACUCUCUGUUUCACCAGCCACGUCACCUGCAGGGGAGGCCACAGGUGGAGAUGGCAGAGCCUCUGAAAUGCUCCCCUGAAUGGUUGGGUCACUGCAUGAAGGACAGCGCCUGGCAGAACCAUCCGGAUGAGCGGCGGCCUCUGAGGGAGCAGGAGAUCAAUGUUCUCUGUGUUAAGUUCCUGGUAUCUUGGGCUUCUUCGUUUCUGCAGCCUGGCUUCCCCUAGUCCUGCCAUUAACUCUGUUAAAAAUGGCUUUGCCUGGCCAAAGUCCUUUCCAGCUCCGUGAGCCCGGGGCAUUCUAAAUUUCUUUUCCACGUAGAGAGUUUUUAUUAUUCUUUGGCUACAAAUUGAGAGGCAUCUCCAUGCUGCGCAAGCAACAGAAUGGUACUGAUGAGAGGGAGCAGAACCAAGGAACUGGAGGGACUUGCAAGGCCUGGUGGGUCAGUGCUAGCUGAAGGCAACCGAGUGUGAGGGUGGCUAGAGGGUCUUUGAGGGAGGAGCCCGCGGAGGUCUGGGCCUUACAGGGAAGCCUGGAGGCAGGUGGCAGGGGUCCGAGCAUGAAGACCAGUACGCAGCAGCUCUGUGCUAGGAUCCAGAAGAACGUCUCCUGGAGGGGCAGGUGUGUUCUAUACAUCAGAGAUCCAGUGUUCCAGGCCUGGCUGCUGCUUCUCUCUCAGGACAAGAGAAUGAGGGUAAAGACUAAAAGGCAUCGCGGUGUUUCCACUGGGCUAGAUGCUUUACGUGUGUUCUCUCCACUUGUUACCACCUCCCUGCCAAGCAGGGAGAUGAUCUCUAUUUCGCUCACUAGAGAAAUGCAGCUUCGAGAGAUUAAAUGUUUAAUGCAAGUGUGAUGCCAAGACCUCUACCCUUUCCUCCACACCAAGCUGCUUGGCCAAGGAGAGACUCCUGAACAAGGCUGGAGGUGGAGCUAUGCUGUCAACAAGGUGGAUUUGAGGGAGCAUCAGCGCGGUGUCCUGCCCAGGGGUCUUAAACUCUGGCGCACUAGACCAGAAGACUUUUCCCUCCUGGGAUUGUCUGGCCGGGGACUUUGGGGAUGGGUCUGAUACUGGGGCUGCCUUCUUCUUUAUCAGUCUCCUACUGACCAGUGGCUUCAGUGCAGCAAUGGGGAGCAGGCCCAGUUCACUUGUCUUCUGAUCUCAGUGAAACUUCUCCUUUGCAGCAAGGGUGUAAACUACAUUGAUGAGUUCCAGUUGUGAGCAGUGCUGGGCUCACCAGACACCCUCUGGUGCCUCCACCCAUCCUGGACUCCCUGUCUUCAGUCGCUCUAGAAGCAGCGCCUACAGGGCACAGCUCCUCUUCAGAGGGCUGCUUCCAGGGUCCUGGCGCUGCUCUGCCUGCCAGCACAGAGCUGGAGGCUGAGCACUUCCCUUGCUUCCAGGCCACCUAUAGCCCCCAGGAAAAGCCUGACUGUGGGAAUAGGACAGGCCACCUGUGCCUGGAGUCCUGACUCUGAGCUGGACUCACACCCUAGGGCGCCUUCGGGAGUGGCCUAUGGUGGGGUCUGGGUGACUUCCCCUGAGUCUCUCCAGUGUUUGACUCCUCCUCCUUCCUUGUCCCAUUUCUCCUCUCCUUUGCUUGUUCCCCCUGGGAGCCCUUCCUUUAAUAAUCAUUGCCCACUGAUCUUCGUCUCAGGGGCAUCUUCUGGGGAACUGACGUAAGCCACACACCUCUUAAAACCAUACCAUGGUUUUUGACAUAAAACCUGUUGUUCUGAUGGAAGGAUGAGAUGUGUGUGGGUCCAAGGGGAGGGAGGCUAAUAAUUUGUAUCCUUUUAACUUGAGAUUCUUUAAAUGUUUGACAUUCAUUUCAUGGGAGUGGGGUGGGAAGAAAUGACUCUCUUACUAAUAAAAGCUGCAGCCAGAAUCAGAUUCACUGGAGCGGAGUCAACAUUCUGAAAUAUCCAGCAGGGCAUUCCCCUUUUUCUGUACUUCCUGUUCUCUCUUCAGCUGUCUUCAGAAUUUUCUAAGCAAAAUAGCCUCUCAGGAGGCUGUUUAAGGGAUCAAAUAUAGUUGCGAAAAUGAAUCACUAUUUUCUGAUACACAGCAUUGGCCACGCUUUAUCUGCUGUCAGAAAUUCUGAGAUGAUGACAGCUGCUUUCUCCAGUGACUGCGGCUCUAAAGAGAAAGAUGUGGGAGAGAAAUAAAAUUUCUUCAUAUAAUGAUCAGGCAUAACAAUCUCCCAAUGGCCUCAUUUUAAAUACAUUUGAGAAAAGUACAAUUUCUGAGAAAAAUCUAAAGUCUUUCCCUUACCUGCCAGCAGGGUGGGCAGCUGGGGGGACCCCAGGGCAUCAUAGAGCAGGGCUGGGUCAGACUCUCGCUCCACCUGGAGAGUCUUCGAAAGGAGCCAGAGAGCUUGGGCGCUUGUCCUUUCCCUACACUCCGUGACCUGGAGGAGAGAGAAGAGACACUGCUGGCACCAGGGGUAGAGUGCCAGGCGGGUCAUUGUGGUGGGGGAGCUGACACCCUUCACUCUUGCCCUCUGCUGGGCAUAUGUAUUAGCUCACUGCAUCCUCACAGCUGCCCUAUGAGGGAGGGGCUACUAUUGUGCUCACAUCACAGGGAGGUUAAACGUCCUGCCCAAGAUCACACAGCUAAUGAAUGACAGAGCUGGGAUUUGAAGCCAGGCAGCCUGGCUCUGAGUCUGUGCUCUGAAUAGCAACCCUGUGUGUGUGAUCUGGCAAAGGGGCAGAGAGGCAAGAGCUGCCCAUAGGAAUGGAGGUCGCCAACCCCUUAAUCAUUGGUGAAUUUGCUGGUUCUUCCUCCAGCUGCUGUGACCCACACAAUGCUGGACACAGUGUUUUCACUUGACAGCCAAACCACGAGCGUGCCAGACUCUGUCCUGGCCCGCAGGUAGGCCGCUGCCAUGCAGGAGCCACCAAGGAGCUGGGGUUCACAUCGGGGUGGAUCUGGCAAAAGGAGGAAAGGUCACGUCUAGUAGGAACUGCAGAUGACAGGCUCGGGGUGCCUUAGAGAUACUCCUGACGAGGGGAAGGUUUGGGAGUGUUAUGAACUGAAUGUCGGUGUCCCCCCCAGAUUCCUGUGUUGAAGCCCCAAUCCCCAGUGUGACUGCACUUGGAGGCAGGGCCUUUAUACAGGUAAGUGGGGUUCCACAAGAUCGUAAGAGUAGGGCCUUGAUCCAAUAGAGUUGGUGACUUUAUGAGGAGAGAUCAGAGCUUGCUCUCUCUGUGCCCAUGAGGAUACGGCGAGAAGUGCUGUCUGCAGGCCAGGAAGGAGCUCUCGCCGGGAAAUGGACGAGCUGGCGCCUUGUCUCGGACUGCUGGCUUCCAGAACUGUGAGAAAUAAACUUCUGUUGUUGAAGCCCCCAGUCUGUGGUAUGUUGUUAUGGCUGCCCAAGCAGACUAAGACAGAUUUCGGUACCAAGAUGUGGGGAGCUGCUGUAACAAAUACCUAAAUAUGUGGAAGUGGCUUUGCACUGGGUAAUGGUAGAGGCUGGAGGAGUUUUGAGGUGCAUGCUAGAAAAAGCUUAGAUUGCUGUGAAGAAACUGUGGGUAGAAAUAUGGAUGUUAAAGGCAAUUCUGGUAAGGUCUCAGAAAGAAAAGAAGAGAGCUGGAGAGAAAGACUCCAUCUUCUUAGAGAACACGUAAAUAAUCAGGAACAGAGUGUUCGUGGAAAUGUGGACAUUAAGGUCAUUGUGGUGAGGUCUCCAAUGGAAACCAGCAGCAAUGUGUAACUGGAGACCAGAGGAGAGGGGAUGUCUGUUAUAAAGCAGCAAAGAACUUGGCUGGAGUGUGUUCUAGUGUUUGUGGAAGACAGAACCAUGAUCGAUGAAGCUGGAUACUGAGCUGAGGAGAUUUCUAAGCUAGAAGUUGGAGGUGCGGUCUGGAUCCUCCUGACUGCUUGUAGUGAAAUGCAAGAGAAGAGAGAGAAAUGGAAAGAGUUGUUAAGCAAAAAGGAACCAGAAUUUCACAAUUUGAAAAAUUCUCAGCCUAUCCAUAUUGGUAAGGCAAUUAGUGUGGAUGUGAACCGCAAGUGUAACCAGCCACUUCAGCAAAAGCUGGGGACAGAGUUGGGAUUAUCCUGGCAGGGACACUGCCAGUUUGAACUAAAGGGGACAGAAAAAUGGGAGGAAUGAAGGAAGGCCAUUGGAUUUCUUUGAUUCCACAGGACUGGACAAUGGAGCAUUUAGUCGUGAAAAUGCUUCAUCCUUCAAGAAAAUGGCAGAAUGACCCCAGAGGCAAUUCAGAGAUCGUCAGGACUGCCACUCUCACCACAGACCCAGGGGCAGGGCUGUUUCCUCCCUGGUUUCUGAGGGCAGGGGGCUUGCAGAGAGCUAUAGGGGGUGGGGGUUGUGCCCCACUGAGCUGAAGUGGCCAAACUACCCCGCCCCAAGCCCCACAGAGCUGUGAUGCUGUCACCCAGGUGGGCCUGGCAGGCAGGGCAUCGAGCCAGAGAGGAUUGUUCUCCAGGCUUAAGAUCUGAUGGAAUUGCCAACCAAGUUUUGGACUUGUAUGGGACCUGUCCUUCUUUCCUAUUUCUCCUUUUUGAAAUGCAGUCUGUCCUGUCAUCGCAUAUUGGAAGCACAUAACUUGUUUUGUUCAUUUGUUAGGUUCACAGCUGGAGAGGAAUUUUGCCUCAGGAAGAAUUAUACCCUGGAUCACACCAUCAUCUGAUUUAGACGAUAUUUAGGCGAGACUUUGGACUUUAGAGUUGAUAUUGGAAAAAGAUAAGGCUCAUUAACUCAUUGGGGUUAAUAGGCCUGUUGGGAUGAAAUGAAUGUAUUUUUCAUGCAAGAGGAGCACAAAUUUUGGUGGUUGCUCUUGCUGCAGUUUCCCAGGGAGGCUAGGCUGUCCUCCUGGCCUGCUGGUUAUGGUGCUCAGCUCUGUGUGGCUGCUAUGGACCCUUCAGUAAGUUUAUUUGGCAUGGGGAGCCCCAGCACAGUUGGCUGCAGGU